AAAAACCCUGAGACGCUAUUGGUUUCACUUCAGGGCUGCUACAAAGGCAAGCUGUAAAAAAGAUGUAUAAAAGACAUUGUCUAUUAUGCUGAAGAAUUUCCAUUGAAAGUCCAAGUUCCAUAUCAGAGAAACAUGGCCACUGAAGGACAAAUAUUAAAGUACAUUUUAGGAUUUAUAAUGGCUGUCCUGCUGGAAGUAUGUGUUGUGGAAAACCUUCAUGUCCCAGGCAACGAGUCACAUCACAUUGAUAAAAGAGAAGCAGUGUCACCAGUACCCACUACAUUAAUGGCUACAAAUGCAGCAGCAGCAACAACAACAACAUCAACUACUGCUACUGCUACUACUACUAAUACUACUACUACUGCUAAUACAAAUACUACUACUACUGCUACAACACCAACAGUUCUUCAAAUGUCAAUGAGAAUAAAUCAAAUAUUUGACACCAGUCUUACUAAUGAAACUGGAACAAAGUACAAAUUUUAUGUCGAUAACAUUGAAUCAGCAAUUGACGAAAGUUACAAGGAUCUGUCUAGCUACAUUAAAGGUUCAGUAAAAGUAACUGGCUUCAGGUCUGGUAGCAUUAUAACAGACUACACGAUUAAAACAGUCAACAACAACAGCAGCAGCAGUGUUGAUUUAUCAUCAGCAAACACACAGGUUUCUAAGAUUCUCUCAAUAGCAGGAAUCCCUGUAGCUCCGGACGCUUUUGAGGAGAGUGUGGAACAAAUAUUGACCAUCAAAGAUAAAUAUUAUCCUCAGCAAAGGAUGGAACUGUGGUGUUCUCAUCUAAAAUCUGUUCAUGGAAAAAUGAAAUGGAGAGUGAAUGACAAAGAUCCUGCAGAAAACAAAGCAAAAUACAGCAUUACAAAUGAUGGUAGUGGAAGCACUCUCAUAGUGAAGGAUGUUAGUGAAAGUGACAGUGGUAGAUACUCGUGUAUCAUACAAAGAAGCACUAUAAACAUACCUUAUGUUCAGUGGCAAAAAAUUGUUAUUGAACCACGUCCCAAUAUCAUAGUGGAUAAAACUGAAAUAAAGUUGCCAUGUACAGAUCAGACUGUCACGUUCAGAUGCUGUGCUGAAGACUACCCAAUUGAGUGGGAUGGGAUUCCUUCUGAUGAUGAAUUGACAAAUUCAGAGCCUGACUGCAUCACAUUAAAGCAUAAAAUCUUGAGCACAAGUUGUGGAUCUAUUGAAACUGUUACAUGUCGACUAAAGAACAUGAACGAAUUAGAAAUGUUUGAGUAUUACAAGAAAAUAAUCCAGGUUCAGACCGUCAGAGAUUUUGACUGUAAAAAUCAAUCACUUGGAGUUGGAAAAAUUGGUGACAUUGUAACAGGUCCCUGUGAAAAAGGCCUGGAAGGCUACAUAACUUAUCAAUGUCAACAGGCAAAUUCUCAAAUUGUUUGGAAACCUACACAGAGAGAAUGUGUAGUUGAAUCUAUCAAAGACCUUGAGAGGAAAGCUAAGUUCUUGUUUGGAGAAGAGAUUCCAGGUUUUAUGUCAAUCCUCAGUAAAGCUGCAGAUCAGAACAAUGUUGAGAUAACACAAUCUGCUCCAACUGUCCAAACUAUAGUUAAGAUACUCUUCAAAAUUGCUAAUAUCGCACAAACUUUUACCAUUAAUAAACCUGUGAUAAAGGAUUUUCUUAAAACCGUGAACUUAAUUGUAAGAGAUGAAUCUAAAAACACAUGGGCAGAAUUACAGAAUGGUCAGAAAACAGAAAACAGAAGCACUGAACUUCUACAAGCUAUUGAGAAAAUAAGUGAUCGUCUCUCAGAUGACAAUUUUAUGAUCAAUGAAGGGUCCGUUCAGUUGAAUAGAACAACAAUUGAAAACUCAUUCAUUGGAACGUCUCUACUAGCAAACUCAACGACUCAGAUUGUGAUACCAAAUGUUGUUAAACCAGCCCUUACAACCAUUAUUGUUUUCACAAAGCUUGGCAAUGUCCUACCAACUCGCUCUACUAUUAAUGACAACAAAACAUCAGAAAACUGCAUUAAUGGAGACGUGGUUGUGGUUAAGGUUAAUAAUACAGUUAACAACAUUUUGCUUACUUUUGACAAGACAAAUGCAUCAUUGGGAAAUCCGCAGUGUGUCUUUUGGAACUUUGAUCUCUUCCGAUGGGAUUCAACUGGAUGUAAAGUCAAGAUCUCAGGAAAUGAAGCGGACAAGGUUACAUGUGAAUGCACUCAUACAACCUCUUUUUCAAUCCUGAUGUCACCGGUUGCAAAUGAAGACCCUGUUAAACAAAGAGACUUAGCCUAUAUAACAUACAUUGGAGUAGGUAUUUCUAUAGCCUGCUUGAUUUUUUGCCUUUUUCUUGAGAUGAGUGCAUGGAGAUUGAUGACAAGAAAUGGCACGUCUUACAUGCGGCAUGUCUCAAUAGUCAACAUUGCUGUGUCUCUCCUAAUUGCUGAUACCUGUUUCAUCAUUGGAGCUGCAAUUGCAGAUGAAGAGCAGAUGAUCUCAGUGGGUCGCUGCAGUCCAGUGGUUUUCUUCAUGCACUUUUUUUAUUUGGCUCUUUUCUUCUGGAUGUUCUUUUCAGCACUUUUGCUUCUUUACCGCAUUGUCAUGGUCUUGGCUCAAAUGUCAAGGACUAAAAUGACGAUCAUUGCCUUCACAGUUGGUUAUGGUGCACCUUUGCUCAUAGCGGUUAUUACUGUCGCAUCCACAGCUGGAGCUGAAAACUAUGUUUCAAAAGAAAAUGCAUGCUGGCUGAACUGGAAUGAAUCUAAGGCCCUGCUGGCAUUUGUGAUUCCAGCUCUGGCUAUCGUUGCCUUUGUGUUUGUGGUCUUGUGUAAGAUGUUAAGGAGAAGGGUUGGUGCUACAGCUCAACCAGAUGAAAGGGAUGUUCUUGUGGUCAUUGUCCGAUGUGUGGCCAUUCUCACUCCUAUCUUUUGCCUGACAUGGGGAUUUGGGAUUGGAACCAUGGUGUCACGUGACUUUGGCAUUCGUGUGGUUUUCGCCGCAUUUAAUUCACUGCAGGGAUUCUUUGUUUUGGUGUUUGGGACACUUUCUGACAGCAAGGUGCGAGAGUCACUGUCAGGAAAGCUGAUACUGUAUAACUUUGGUUCCGGUCGUACCAGGAGAACUAAUCCACAGACAUCAUCCACAAGUGUCUUACAAAGGAUUAAUGUGGACAAUAUAUCUGGAACCCGAAGUUUCUCAACAGCUUCAUCUUCUAACAGCUUCAGUUAAAUAAUUACAGGUGGCGGUUGUUGCCUAAUGGUUAGAGAGCAGCACUUGUAAACUGAAGGUUUCAGGUUUAAUUCUCAAUGUUGGCAGGAACAACUGAUGUGACCGAGUAGGCUAUGAGUGACCAUAUUUGACCAUCACAUCGAUUCACCUUACUGCAGGAAACAUUCAUUAAUGCUAUGCAAGUGUGAUUUAUAUUGUCUUCAACCAUAGCAAAAAUAUUGCAAUAUUGGAAUUUAGGGUAGAAUUAGCAAAAAACUACAUUAAAGGCUUUGUAAACUAGACGUUUAAUGCCAACAUUCAAAUCACAUUUAAGUUGAAAUUUGAAGCCUCCAAUUGUUAAGACCAUAGUGACAAGUCGUCACUGACAACCUCGUUCAAGUUUAAGUGAGCUUUCGUGUCAUGGUGCUAUAUGUGGAGACAAAGAAGGGAACAAAAUGUUGUGACGCAAUGUUAAACUUUAUAUGUUAAUGUUAUAUGUUAUACAUUUAACAUGUAUGAACUUGCAAAUAUCUAAUCAGAUGUAUAGUUAAAAUAAAAUACAUUUUUUACUUAAUCUAUAUAUAUUAACUGGGUUUUCUGAAUAUGUGACCUCAAUGCACAUAUACUGAAUAUGCAUUGAAUACCGUUAACUUUAUGUGCAAGUUUGCAUUAAUAAAAAAAAAAAAUGUUUUGUUUUCUUGAAAUUCUGUUGAAGUCUGUUGUUUAAAAGGACUAACCACAUCCUGGUUUUACUUUAAUAUGCUUGGAUUAUCAAAAUAAAUACAGGUGAUAGCUGUCAUGAACGUGGGUGGUGAGGACAAGGACAGAGGACCCAGGUGCAGACAGCGGAAACCCAACAGAGGACCCUUAGAGGUCUAAGCAUGGUAGUGUAACACUACACACAGGACGGAAGGACGAUGCCACAACAAGACUCUGUGAUGUAUGAAGGUUUAAUAUAAAUCCAAGGCAAAAAAAGGUAAAUUCCAAAGGGUUGGUGAUCCACAAAAACAAACAGGUAAUAUCCACAAGGUGACUAUAUUAGAAUAAACAAGAAAGCCACGGGAGAACAGAAUGCAAUUUAUCCGCUCAACCAAUCACAGCACACCAUUCCACGCAUUGUAAACAGUAAUGGCGGCACUCUGAACGGUCGGCAUCCUAGUUUCCCUGAUCUACUUUGUACUUUGUGUUCAACAAGCAAACAAAAAAAAGGAAUAAUUUUGACAGCAUUGAUGAAGCUAUGCUGGUGGUCGGGAAGAAACGUAAGCCAUCGAAAUCUAAUCAUUUACGUGAGGAGAUUAAGAAGACGAGGCACUAAUUUAUAGCAUUAAAAAGAUGAUCCGUUGAAUUCAUUUUAGGAGCGAUGACUGAUUAAAUGUAUUUUUAGUCCAGUGCCUGUAUGUAAGAUUCGUAUUGUUUUGAGUUCAGAGGCUGUCAUAUGUGGAUCAACUCACUUUGUUGUGUAUUUUCAACAGUUUCAAUAUGAAAAAUAACUUUUAUAUUGAUUCAAUGGAUUUAUUGCAUUUUGAAAAAAAUUGUCAUGGAUUUAUUGCGUUUUGGGGAAAGAAUGGUCAGUUUUUAUAAUAAAUCUUUUAAAAUCAAAAUCUUGAUUUGAAUUUUUUAUGUUACUAGAACCUAAAUAUGCUAUGUAAAACUUUGAAACAGAAAAUAGGGGUUUUCAUCUUGCCACUUUCUUUGCAAAUUUUUACUCAAAUUAAUCAAAAUGGAUUUAUAGCGUUUUGGAACCAAACUCUUCAAAUACAUUUGGCAGUAAUUGCAAAAUAAAUAAUGCAACAAACAUUUUAUUUGUUAAUAUAUCCAGGGAGUAGAUGAGCCUUUCCUUAAAUGGAAAGUCUUCACAGACAGUCACACUCAUUAAACCUCUUACAGGUAUAAAAAGGAGACCAGCAAAGGCAUAAACAUGAAAAUAGCCAUUGCAUCCUUUUAAUUUUAUACCAGUGAUGAUAGUAAAAAUAGUCAAAACUAAAUGUCACCAGUACAGCAACAGUUACUUAAAAAGUCAAGUUAGUGUAGUAAGUAACCAAAACUGUCAAGCACAUGUAGCAAUAGUCAAACAUGAAAUAUUUGUGACGUAGUGAAGUUGAAAUAUGUUCCAUGGGUAUCUGUUUCACUUGUUUGUCUGGUCUCUUAUCUUUGUUUUAUUAUCAAUGUAUGAAUUUAUGAUAUAAAACUGUCCAUAUUAUAUCAAGUGCCUCAAGUGCUUUACGUCAUAUUAAUAUCUGCUUUAAAAAUUUGUGAAAAUUUGUGGCCUUGUAUGUGAUAGCACUUUGGCACUUGACAAUGUGUUGACAACUAAUUUCAGACAAUAUUCAAUUAUAAUAGUCAAUUCAAUUCUAUCUUACAGGCUAAUCAUCAAACCACCCCAUCAGCUCCAGCAACUCCACCAGUCCAACGACCCCACUGAGAAACUGCAUCACUCGACUUAGAUUUAUAUGUUCUAACUGCAGUUAACUAUACUAACAAUAAACCAUUAGAUACAUUGAUUAAUUUAAACUGUGCCACACAACUUAUACCUCUGACACAUUGUUCUCUCUCCUUGACAGGAGCUGAUAGAAAAUAGUAGUCAUGCGGUCUCAAGUUUCAGUUGUGGUUGGCUUGGCACGUUGUUCUGUGAUGUCAGAGAGGGAUUACAGACAAAAUACGUCUGUUUUUAGAAACACCGGAGUUGUUUUCACACGUGAAAAGAGACGACAAUCAGAAAUUACAUACUUAUUGGCAUAGUUGUGUUGCAUUUCGUAUUUUAUUGUAAUUGCUUGUGCCGUAGCUUAAUAUCCGCUGUAUUAUCCAAGCAGGACGUUGAUGUUUGUGGCUACCUUGGUUUUUUCUCUAAAUGAUAAUGAUUUAGGGCUUUCACAUAUCAGAUGUUCACUGCAUGAUGGUGGCCAAAGGAAUUCACAAUAACUGUAUUAUCACUAAAUCUUUUGAAAAGACUUUUAACAAGAAAUAAAAGGUGC